rnacentral:rRNA from 1 species
GAUGAACGCUAGCUACAGGCUUAACACAUGUAAGUCGAGGGGUAACGAGAGGAAAGCUUGCUUUCCUUGUCGACGACCGGCGCACGGGUGAGUAACGCGUAUCCAACCUGCCCCCAACUAGGGAAUAACCUUGCGAAAGUACGACUAAUACCCUAUAAUUUCCUCAGAUGUCAUCUGACGAGGAAUAAAGAUUUAUCGGUUGUGGAUGGGGAUGCGUCGUAUUAGCUUGUUGGCGGGGUAAUGGACAACCAAGGCAACGAUAAGUAGGGGUUCUGAGAGGAAGGUCCCCCAAAUUGGAACUGAGACACGGUCCAAAGUCCUACGAGAGGCAGCAUUGAGGAAUAUUGGUCAAUGGGCGGAAGCCUGAACCAGCCAAUUAGCGUGCAGGAUGACGGCCCUAUGGGUUGUAAACUGCUUUUAUACAGGAAUAAAGUUAGCCACGUGUGGUUAUUUGUAGGUACUGUAUGAAUAAGGACCGGCUAAUUCCGUGCCAGCAGCCGCCGUAA